rnacentral:lncRNA from 1 species
CGCAGACGAGCCCGCGCCCGCGCCGCUCAGUUUUCUGAAAGAAAAGAUCAGUAAGAUCAGUUAUGGGCUAUGAUGAAACCAUUUUAAGUCUCUGUUCUUUGCCAAGCUCCAAGGUCCAUGAAAUCUGAUGGUGUAGGAAAUGCUCAUCCAGUAUCUGCAGUGCUGUUUAAAGAGAAAAGGCCCAGGUGAAGCCUGUUACUAGAAGACUGAGUGAUAUGAGGGACUAGCUGUCUGGGAUGAGAGAGAACCCGAGACUAGUAUGUCUUACAAUGGAGGAGAUGUCCGCUUUGAGGAUAGUGGGAAAGUAGGGAAAUGAAAUGAAG